rnacentral:pre_miRNA from 1 species
CCUUAUCAUUCAGCUGUCCAGAGGGUAUUUAUAUGCUGGACGGAGAACUGAUAAGGGC